rnacentral:rRNA from 1 species
GACGAACGCUGGCGGCGUGCUUAACACAUGCAAGUCGAACGAUGAAGCCCAGCUUGCUGGGUGGAUUAGUGGCGAACGGGUGAGUAACACGUGGGCAACCUGCCCCAAACUCUGGGAUAACUCCUCGAAAGAGGUGCUAAUACCGGAUACGAACUAGACAGACAUCUGUACUAGUUGGAAAGUUUUUCGGUUUGGGAUGGGCCCGCGGCCUAUCAGCUUGUUGGUGAGGUAACGGCGCACCAAGGCUACGACGGGUAACCGGCCUGAGAGGGGGACCGGGACCACUGGGGCUGGGACACGGCCCAGACUCCUACGGGAGGCAGCAGUGGGGAAUAUUGCGCAAUGGGCGAAAGCCUGACGCAGCGACGCCGCGUGAGGGAUGAAGGUCUUCGGAUCGUAAACCUCUUUCAGUAGGGACGAAGCGAAAGUGACGGUACCUAAAGAAGAAGCACCGGCUAACUACGUGCCAGCAGCCGCCGUAA